rnacentral:rRNA from 1 species
UACGUAGGGGCAAGCGUUGUCCGGAAUCAUUGGGCGUAAAGAGCGUGUAGGCGGCUCGGUAAGUCCGCUGUGAAAGUCCAGGGCUCAACCCUGGGAUGCCGGUGGAUACUGUCGGGCUCGAGUCCGGAAGAGGAGUGUGGAAUUCCUGGUGUAGCGGUGAAAUGCGCAGAUAUCAGGAAGAACACCCGUGGCGAAGGCGGCUCCUCGUGGGACGGUACUGACGGCUGAGACGCGAAAGCGUGGGGAGCGAACAGG